UACAGAGGUCUCAAGCGUUGUUCGGAUUCAUUGGGCGUAAAGGGUGCGUAGGUGGUGAUGCAAGUCUGGUGUGAAAUCUCGGAGCUCAACUCCGAAAUUGCACCGGAUACUGCGUGACUCGAGGACUGUAGAGGAGAUCGGAAUUCACGGUGUAGCAGUGAAAUGCGUAGAUAUCGUGAGGAAGACCAGUUGCGAAGGCGGAUCUCUGGGCAGUUCCUGACACUGGAGGCACGAAGGCCAGGGGAGCAAACGGG
rnacentral:rRNA from 1 species